rnacentral:rRNA from 2 species
CACGUACUGUGCGAACGUUAUUCGGAAUCACUGGGCUUAAAGGGUGCGUAGGCGGCGAUACAAGUCAGGUGUGAAAUGCCGGAGCUCAACUGCGGCAUUGCGCUUGAAACUGUGUUGCUUGAGUAUUUCAGGGGUGUGGGGAACUGCCAGUGGAGCGGUGAAAUGUGUUGAUAUUGGCAGGAACACCGGAGGCGAAAGCGCCACACUGGGGAAUAACUGACGCUGAGGCACGAAAGCCAGGGGAGCGAACGGG